UACGUAGGGUGCGAGCGUUAAUCGGAAUUACUGGGCGUAAAGCGUGCGCAGGCGGUUUUGUAAGCCAGAUGUGAAAUCCCCGGGCUUAACCUGGGAAUGGCAUUUGGGACUGCAAGGCUGGAGUGUGGCAGAGGAGACUGGAAUUCCUGGUGUAGCAGUGAAAUGCGUAGAUAUCAGGAGGAACACCGGUGGCGAAGGCGGGUCUCUGGGCAGUAACUGACGCUGAGGAGCGAAAGCGUGGGGAGCGAACGGG
rnacentral:rRNA from 1 species